rnacentral:rRNA from 1 species
UGGGGAAUAUUGGACAAUGGGCGAAAGCCUGAUUCAGCCAUGCCGCGUGUGUGAAGAAGGCCCUCGGGUUGUAAAGCACUUUCAGUGGGGAAGAAGGCCUCGGGAUUAAUACUUCCGAGGAAGGACAUCACCCACAGAAGAAGCACCGGCUAACUCCGUGCCAGCAGCCGCGGUAAUACGGAGGGUGCGAGCGUUAAUCGGAAUUACUGGGCGUAAAGCGCGCGUAGGCGGUCUGAUCAGCCGGUUGUGAAAGCCCCGGGCUCAACCUGGGAACGGCAUCCGGAACUGUCAGGCUAGAGUGCAGGAGAGGAAGGUAGAAUUCCCGGUGUAGCGGUGAAAUGCGUAGAGAUCGGGAGGAAUACCAGUGGCGAAGGCGGCCUUCUGGACUGACACUGACGCUGAGGUGCGAAAGCGUGGGUAGCAAACA